rnacentral:rRNA from 1 species
AGAGUUUGAUCCUGGCUCAGGACGAACGCUGGCGGCGUGCUUAACACAUGCAAGUCGAACGGUAAGGCGCUUUCGGGCGUACACGAGUGGCGAACGGGUGAGUAACACGUGAGGAACGUGCCCUUGACUUUGGUAUAGCACUUGGAAACAGGUGGUAAUCCCGAAUAUUCAGUUUCCCGGGCAUCCGGGUUGUUGGAAAGCUUUUUGCGGUCAGGGAUCGUCUCGCGGCCUAUCAGCUUGUUGGUGGGGUAGUGGCCCACCAAGGCCUUGACGGGUAGCCGGCCUGAGAGGGCGACCGGCCACAUUGGGACUGAGAUACGGCCCAGACUCCUGCGGGAGGCAGCAGUGGGGAAUAUUGCACAAUGGGCGGAAGCCUGAUGCAGCAACGCCGCGUGCGGGAUGACGGCCUUCGGGUUGUAAACCGCUUUCACCCAUGACGAAGCGCGAGUGACGGUAGUGGGGGAAGAAGCACCGGCCAACUACGUGCCAGCAGCCGCGGUGAUACGUAGGGUGCGAGCGUUGUCCGGAAUUAUUGGGCGUAAAGAGCUUGUAGGCGGUUGAUCGCGUCGAUAGUGAAAUCCCGGGGCUCAACCUCGGGCUUGCUGUCGAUACGGGUUGACUUGAGGAAGGUAGGGGAGAAUGGAACUCCCGGUGGAGCGGUGGAAUGCGCAGAUAUCGGGAAGAACACCGGUGGCGAAGGCGGUUCUCUGGACCUUUCCUGACGCUGAGAAGCGAAAGCGUGGGGAGCAAACAGGCUUAGAUACCCUGGUAGUCCACGCUGUAAACGGUGGGUACUAGGUGUGGGUCGCAUUCCACGUGAUCCGUGCCGUAGCCAACGCAUUAAGUACCCCGCCUGGGGAGUACGGCCGCAAGGCUAAAACUCAAAGGAAUUGACGGGGCCCCGCACAAGCGGCGGAGCAUGCGGAUUAAUUCGAUGCAACGCGAAGAACCUUA